rnacentral:rRNA from 1 species
AGAUGGCGUAAGCUAUCGCUUUUGGAUGGACCCGCGGCGUAUUAGCUAGUUGGUGAGGUAACGGCUCACCAAGGCAAUGAUACGUAGCCGAACUGAGAGGUUGAUCGGCCACAUUGGGACUGAGACACGGCCCAAACUCCUACGGGAGGCAGCAGUAGGGAAUCUUCCACAAUGGACGCAAGUCUGAUGGAGCAACGCCGCGUGAGUGAAGAAGGCUUUCGGGUCGUAAAACUCUGUUGUUGGAGAAGAAUGGUCGGCAGAGUAACUGUUGUCGGCGUGACGGUAUCCAACCAGAAAGCCACGGCUAACUACGUGCCAGCAGCCGCGGUAAUACGUAGGUGGCAAGCGUUAUCCGGAUUUAUUGGGCGUAAAGCGAGCGCAGGCGGUUUUUUAAGUCUGAUGUGAAAGCCCUCGGCUUAACCGAGGAAGUGCAUCGGAAACUGGGAAACUUGAGUGCAGAAGAGGACAGUGGAACUCCAUGUGUAGCGGUGAAAUGCGUAGAUAUAUGGAAGAACACCAGUGGCGAAGGCGGCUGUCUGGUCUGUAACUGACGCUGAGGCUCGAAAGCAUGGGUAGCGAACAGGAUUAGAUACCCUGGUAGUCCAUGCCGUAAACGAUGAAUGCUAGGUGUUGGAGGGUUUCCGCCCUUCAGUGCCGCAGCUAACGCAUUAAGCAUUCCGCCUGGGGAGUACGACCGCAAGGUUGAAACUCAAAGGAAUUGACGGGGGCCCGCACAAGCGGUGGAGCAUGUGGUUUAAUUCGAAGCAACGCGAAGAACCUUA